UUGAAUUCAAAAGUGCAGGAAAAGAGCUUUGCCUAUGAAAGGAACCUACAAGCCAGAGGGUUUGCUCUAAACUAUUGUGAGACCUCCGGCUACAACACAGGACAUGGGAGCUUUUCUGAACCCUCGUGUCUUGUGUUGCAGCCAGAGGGGCACAUCUUUUCAACUGAGUCUGAGACAAGUAGAAGAAACCAACGUGAAAGAGAUGUAAAGAAAAAAUGAGAGACGAGUACAGGCGUGGGACUUCACCGAACAUCUAAGAGAAGCAGACUCAGGAAUGUGAUCCUUGGCAUUAGCCUUUGAAGCUUUCUCCGAGAUCCAGAGGAGAUUCUGUCAGAUUUCUGCCUGUUCUUUAGUGCAGGUUGAAAGAUCUGAAUCAGGACUGUUUACAGGACUACCUUAGCAUGUACUUCUCAGCUCCAAUCUGCUUGCACACCAGCCUGAGCACUCCUCCUGACCUUGCCAGUGAGCUAAGAGAGAUCUGCAUAAACCCACAUGGCACUUUACUGCAGAGUCAACUCCUUAAAACUCAGGGGGACUCAAAGUCUUCUAUAAAUGAGGAUACUGCUGGAAGGCGGCAGGUUAUGGUGUUUAUACCAGAAAACAUAAUAAAGGGAUCAAGGGGGGAAAAACAGGA